CACGUAGGAGGCAAACGUUAUCCGGAUUUACUGGGCGUGAAGCGCGUGUAGGUGGUUCUGUAAGUAGGGCGCGAAAGCUCCCGGCUCAACUGGGAGAGGCCGUUCUAAACUGCAGAGCUAGAGGAUGGUAGAGGGAGGUGGAAUUCCAGGUGUAGCGGUGGAAUGCGCAGAUAUCUGGAGGAACACCAGUGGCGAAGGCGGCCUCCUGGACCAUUCCUGACACUCAGACGCGAAAGCUAGGGUAGCAAACGGGAUUAGAUACCCCCGUAGU
rnacentral:rRNA from 1 species